UACGUAGGGGGCAAGCGUUGUCCGGAAUUAUUGGGCGUAAAGAGCGUGUAGGCUGUUCGAUAAGUUUGCUGUAAAAGUCAAGGGCUCAACCCUUGAAAGCCGGUGAAAACUAUCGGACUAGAGUACGGAAGAGGCGAGUGGAAUUCCUGGUGUAGCGGUGAAAUGCGCAGAUAUCAGGAAGAACACCCGUGGCUAAGGCGGCUCUCUAGUACGGUACUGACGCUGAGACGCGAAAGCGUGGGGAGCGAACAGG
rnacentral:rRNA from 1 species